rnacentral:rRNA from 1 species
UACAGAGGGGGCAAGCGUUGUUCGGAAUUACUGGGCGUAAAGGGCGCGUAGGCGGCCUUGUAAGUCGAACGUGAAAUCCCCGGGCUCAACCCGGGAACUGCGUCCGAUACUGGAAGGCUUGAAUCCGGGAGAGGGAUGCGGAAUUCCAGGUGUAGCGGUGAAAUGCGUAGAUAUCUGGAGGAACACCGGUGGCGAAGGCGGCAUCCUGGACCGGUAUUGACGCUGAGGCGCGAAAGCCAGGGGAGCAAACGGG